rnacentral:rRNA from 1 species
AUUGAACGCUGGCGGCAUGCCUUACACAUGCAAGUCGAACGGUGACAGGUCUUCGGAUGCUGACGAGUGGCGAACGGGUGAGUAAUACAUCGGAACGUGCCCGAGAGUGGGGGAUAACGAAGCGAAAGCUUUGCUAAUACCGCAUACGAUCACAGGAUGAAAGCAGGGGACCGCAAGGCCUUGCGCUCACGGAGCGGCCGAUGGCAGAUUAGGUAGUUGGUGGGAUAAAAGCUUACCAAGCCGACGAUCUGUAGCUGGUCUGAGAGGACGACCAGCCACACUGGGACUGAGACACGGCCCAGACUCCUACGGGAGGCAGCAGUGGGGAAUUUUGGACAAUGGGCGCAAGCCUGAUCCAGCCAUGCCGCGUGCAGGAUGAAGGCCUUCGGGUUGUAAACUGCUUUUGUACGGAACGAAAAGACUCCUUCUAAUAAAGGGGGUCCAUGACGGUACCGUAAGAAUAAGCACCGGCUAACUACGUGCCAGCCGCCGCCGUAAGAC